UACGGAGGGUGCAAGCGUUGCUCGGAAUUAUUGGGCGUAAAGCGUAUGUAGGCGGUUUUCUAAGUCUGAUGUGAAAUCCCGGGGCUUAACCUCGGAACUGCAUUGGAUACUGGAAAGCUAGAGGACGAUAGAGGAUGGUGGAAUUCCAGGUGUAGGGGUGAAAUCCGUAGAUAUCUGGAGGAACAUCAGUGGCGAAGGCGGCCAUCUGGAUCGUACCUGACGCUGAGAUACGAAAGCGUGGGGAGCAAACAGG
rnacentral:rRNA from 1 species